rnacentral:rRNA from 1 species
AGUUUGAUCCUGGCUCAGAACGAACGCUGGCGGCAUGCCUAACACAUGCAAGUCGAACGAAGCCUUCGGGCUUAGUGGCGCACGGGUGCGUAACGCGUGGGAAUCUGCCCUUGGGUUCGGAAUAACAGUUAGAAAUGACUGCUAAUACCGAAUGAUGUCUUCGGACCAAAGAUUUAUCGCCCAAGGAUGAGCCCGCGUCGGAUUAGCUAGUUGGUGAGGUAAAGGCUCACCAAGGCGACGAUCCGUAGCUGGUCUGAGAGGAUGAUCAGCCACACUGGGACUGAGACACGGCCCAGACUCCUACGGGAGGCAGCAGUGGGGAAUAUUGGACAAUGGGCGAAAGCCUGAUCCAGCAAUGCCGCGUGAGUGAUGAAGGCCUUAGGGUUGUAAAGCUCUUUACCCGGGAUGAUAAUGACAGUACCGGGAGAAUAAGCCCCGGCUAACUCCGUG